CACUUUCCAUUGUCUAAGAAUAAACCGAAUAUGGUAAAUCCGCGAAUGGCUCAUUACAACAGCUAUAAUUUAUUGGAUCUAUACAGUUACUAGGAUAACUGUGUCAACCCAGAGCUAAUACUUGCAAUCAAACCCCGACUUCGGAAAGGGUGCAUUUAUUAGUACAAAACCAAUUGGCUUCGGCCAUCAAUUGGUGAGUCUGAGUAACUACGCAGAUCGCAUGGGCUUGUCCCGGCGACAUAUCCUUCAGGUGUCUGCCUUAUCAACUGUCGAUGGUAGUUUAUUGGACUACCAUGGUUGUAACGGGUAACGGAGAAUUAGGGUUCGACUCCGGAGAGGGAGCCUGAGAUACGGCUACCACAUCCAAGGAAGGCAGCAGGCGCGCAAAUUACCCACUCUCAGAACGAGGAGGUAGUGACGAAAAAUAACGAGACAGUCUUCUAUGAGGUCUGUCAUCGGAAUGGGUACAAUCUAAACCCUUUAACGAGGAUCUAUUGGAGGGCAAGUCUGGUGCCAGCAGCCGCGGUAAUUCCAGCUCCAAUAGCGUAUAUUAAAGUUGUUGCGGUUAAAAAGCUCGUAGUUGGAUCUGCGACCAUCAAGACCGGUAGCCCAUUGGGUCUCACUGGUUCCUGUGGUCUGCUUACUGGUUUUUGCCUUGGUGCGCUAAACUGAAUGCCC
rnacentral:rRNA from 1 species